rnacentral:rRNA from 1 species
CCCUUCUGCAGUCGACGAUUAGGCGCGAAACUUUACAAUGCGGGAAACCGUGAUAAGGGAACUCCGAGUGUCCGUCAAUGCGGACUGUCCGUAUGUUUAAAAAGCAUGCGAAGAAAGGGCCGGGCAAGACCGGUGCCAGCCGCCGCGGUAA